CGCCGAUUGGAGGCUCUCGGAUCUCACCUCCUCGCGUGGCUCGGCCGGAUCGACGAACACUCUCAAAGGGAUCUCUCUUUGGAUUCGUGAGGGUUCAAUCGUUCUUUCGGAGGCUCCUUCUCCGUCGAAGCUUGGGUCGAAGGUUUUCUUCCAUUAGCAGGCGAUCGGAGAUCGAGCGCCGGCAGUUGGGGAUCGCUAGGGAAAUCUGUUCUUUCUCUCUGUUCGAGUUCUCGCUCUCUCUGUUCGAGCGGUCCGGAUUUUUUUUUCUCUCAGCUCGAGGUCUCUCAAUCGGAUGUUUCUCUCGCUGGAUCCGGCUUCGGAAGCUUUGGAUUAGGUGUUCUCCGACUCUUUCUCGGAGAUUUGACGCUCGCUCGCUCAAUCAGGUUCGCCAUCUCUCUCUCGAUCGCUCUAUCUCACGCUUAGCCUGUCGCUCGCUUUCUCUCUCUGUUUUCCCCUAUCAAUUGCCUACUAUUGAAGUUCAUUUGCUGUGAGAAACAAGCCACUAAAUCUAGGAGCUGAAUCUGGGAAUUUUGACUUCAAUUCUUCAAUGAUAAUUUCUGGCAUGAUCUAUGUUUGUUCUCUAAUCAUACGUUGUCUUGAAUAUAUUGAUAUAAUCUACUGAGGUUAAUGAAUUUCUGUGGAUUGAUGAUCAAUGAUCAUGAACUUGAAGUUGAUUGAACUUGAUUUGCCUUGGUAUGUCACUUUCUGUUUUAGCUUAAAUGAGGUGAUAGAUGAGGCUUUCUGGUCUUGAGCCCUUUUAGACAUAGAAAAUAGACUUCUCAAGCUUUGAUUUGAUAUGUUGCAUGCCCUGAACGGACGUCAUUCGGUCAUUGAAAAACACCUACAAAAUCUGUCAAUUCUGCAGUAGUUUUUUAGGUUGAUUUGCUGUUUUGACCUACUGCAAUUUUCUGUUUUAACUGGAUCGAGCUGGAAGAUGAUGUUAUUAGGACUUAAUGUCUUCUAGAGAUUUGUAAUAGGCUUCUCAAACUUUCCAUUGACAUAUUAUAUGUGCGAUUUGGUCAUCAUUU
rnacentral:lncRNA from 1 species